AUUUAUGUAGUUUAAUAAAACCUAUCAUUUUCAAUGAUAAAUUAGGGUGCCAACCCUCAUAAAUA
rnacentral:tRNA from 1 species